rnacentral:rRNA from 1 species
CUGGCUCAGGAUGAACGCUAGCUACAGGCUUAACACAUGCAAGUCGAGGGGCAGCAUGAUCAAAGCUUGCUUUGGUUGAUGGCGACCGGCGCACGGGUGAGUAACGCGUAUCCAACCUUCCCCUUAGUAGGGCAUAGCCCGUAGAAAUGCGGAUUAAUACCCUAUGUUGUUCGUAGAGGACAUCUGAAAUGAACCAAAGGUUUACCGCUAAGGGAUGGGGAUGCGUCUGAUUAGGUAGUCGGCGGGGUAACGGCCCACCGAGCCCUCGAUCAGUAGGGGUUCUGAGAGGAAGGUCCCCCACAUUGGAACUGAGACACGGUCCAAACUCCUACGGGAGGCAGCAGUGAGGAAUAUUGGUCAAUGGACGAGAGUCUGAACCAGCCAAGUAGCGUGCAGGAUGACGGCCCUAUGGGUUGUAAACUGCUUUUAUACAGGGAUAAAGUUGGGAACGUGUUCCCUUUUGCAGGUACUGUAUGAAUAAGGACCGGCUAAUUCCGUGCCAGCCGCAGC